rnacentral:rRNA from 1 species
UACGGGGGGGGCAAGCGUUGUUCGGAAUUACUGGGCGUAAAGGGCUCGUAGGCGGCCAACUAAGUCAGACGUGAAAUCCCUCGGCUUAACCGGGGAACUGCGUCUGAUACUGGAUGGCUUGAGAUUGGGAGAGGGAUGCGGAAUUCCAGGUGUAGCGGUGAAAUGCGUAGAUACCUGGAGGAACACCGGUGGCGAAGGCGGCAUCCUGGACCAACACUGACGCUGAGGAGCGAAAGCCAGGGGAGCAAACGGG